rnacentral:lncRNA from 1 species
ACUUCCUGUCCUGCCCUCUGAUGCGCCAGCUCUGCCAGUACCAGGUGCUCUGGCACGUGGGCUGGUGGGAGGCAAGGGCAGUGGGAGACUGGGGCCCAGAGUACAUGACUCUGCCUGUGGUAGGAAGCCUUGGGUAUCUCCCCAGUCCACCCUUGGGCCCGGUGUUGUUCCCAGCAUGCCUGAGGCUUCCCUUGGCAGGUUUCCUGUCUUUAACACAAAAAGCAGCUACCUUGGAGCAGGGACAGGGGCAAUGGCAGGGACAGGUCCCCAUCGUAGAGGGUGAACGAAGGAGGUCUCUGUCACCCCUCUCUGCAUACACGAGUGCAUGUGUGUGUAUGGUGUGUAUGUGUGUGCACACCUGGGUUUCUUCUCCGCUG